UGAGCAAUCUGCCCUUCUCUUUUGGAAUAAGCGUUGGAAACGACGUCUAAUGCCGAAUACGACCUCCUUUCGCAUGAUCGGAGGUGGAAAGCUCCGGCGGAGAAGGAUGAGCUCGCGGCCUAUCAGCUAGUUGGUGAGGUAACGGCUCACCAAGGCUACGAUCAGUAGCUGGUCUGAGAGGAUGAUCAGCCANACUGGGACUGAGACACCGGCAGA
rnacentral:rRNA from 1 species